CUGGGUCAUCUGUUCUUCUCUCCCUCCGCAGGCUGCUCUAAGUGCCUUGAAACAGCUGUCGGAGCAGGGACUGGACACGGUGGACUGCCCUAUCAAGAGCAGCGAUGUGUGUGUCAGAGAGGACGGACACUAAACAGACUAACUCAGGCACCACCCACCACUCAGGUCGCCAUGGAUACAACAGGCUGUCGUCAAGGGGAUGACCCCUGACUCUUCCCCGUCACCUAUGACCCCUAUUCCCCCACGACCGCCGUUGCAUCCUGGCAACAACCUGGAACAACAUGCAAUGGAGUGUGUGGAUGUGUACCGAGAGAAGAAAAAAAUGAAAUAACCGACUAACUAGAAAAAGAUGGGGGAAAAACCUAUGAGUCUCUAUGUGAAGACAACACCAUCCUAACACAUUACAUGUAUUGAUCAUUUACGAGGAAUUUAAAUUUAAAAAAAAUAAAUACAAAUAUAUGAAGAAAAAAAAAACUAGAUUGAGUAUAAACAUCUAGAUUUUCCCUGUUGGAUAGAUGUGUAAUGAAAUGGGUCAAACCCCAAUAAAGUUGGAUAGAUGUGUAAUGAUAUGGGUCAAAACCCAAUAUGUAUAUCAUGCCAUGAAGACAGAGGCAACAUUAUGGGGGGGGGGGACAAAGUUGUGUAGCUUAUUUUCCCAGGGGUAAUUAUGUUUAUUUUCUAGUUUAUUCAUCUAACAAUGCUUGAGUACUGACUGUAUUAUAAAAUUAGCCAAUAGCAGUGCUGUGAAAGUUGUAGCUGUUGUCUUCUCAUACAGUAUAUUCACCCAGCUUAUCUUUCAUGCUGAUAUUAAUAAAUAAAUAAACAAAAAAAWAAWAAWUACGUAAUCAUCUAUCUAUAUGGAUGUGAAUGACUUGCAGAAAUAUCAUAUGCACAGAAAAAGGUUUCUUCGUGUGGACAAAAAGGCCAUCCUGCCUGGUGUUUAGCAUUAAUCAAUAGAGCUAGCAGGCAGGGUGAGGGUCUAUUCAAUUGGACGUCAGUCAAUUCAGGAAGGGAUUUGAAGUUAAAACAAACAACAACAAAAAAGCAAAUUUUUUAACAUUUAUAAAUAGCUUAUUUUAAAUUAAUUGAGAAAUCAAUGAAAAUGGAUGCCAUUUUGUUCAAUAAUUGAAUUGCAAUUUCAGUUUAUUUCCUGAAUUGACUGACCUCAAUUGGAAUUGAGCCCAACUCUGCUAUCAGGGGACUGUGACGUGGUUAGGGGGAAGCACAGCAGGUUGGGCCAACCUCUCCUCUGGGUCCUGCAGGGGGAAGCAGCAGGUUGGGCCAACCUCUCCUCUGGGUCCUGCAGGGGGAAGCACAGCAGGUUGGGCCAACCUCUCCUCUGGGUCCUGCAGAGGGAUAUACUAUGAAGCAGGAUCAAUGAUAUAUAUAUGAGUUGUUGGUUGUUGAAGCAAUCAAUACCAAUUAAGAAUGUUUCUGCAAGUUAGCUGGCAAACUCCUUGAUCCUAAUUUGUAGUAUACCCCCUUGGUCUGCCUGCCCUCGUGUAAGGGCACUUCACCACAGACAGCGUCACUAGAAUGGGUUCUUCUCACCAGAGAGGUAGAGGAGAGUUUGGCAGCCAUGUUGGUAAGGACCUAAAAUCAUAAUACCCCACCCCUGUAAAGUGUGUAAUGUAACAAGCCCCCUUGCCUACCAUAGAGGCUGCCUACCGUUCUAGAAUGCAUAGUAGCAGAGUAUUCUGGAAUGGACAAGGUGUUCUAGAAUAUACCUAAUGUGUUCUAGAAUGGACACCAUGUUGUUGAUUAUAAUGAUGACAUGGCAUUUAGUGACUAAAAGUCUCUGAUAGACCAGUGAUUCUAUGUUCGUGGAUUUUUCACCCUUCUCUUCCCUCCACAGUUAAGUCGAUUACAUCUACACCCAUUGUGUGUGUUGUAUUGACCCGGCCACCAAGGCAUCAACUGGGUGCUUUUAAUCUCUGCAUUCUGAACCCUAUGAGCAAAAGACGUUGAAAAGAAACUGAAAAGAAAUUGAAAAUAUGUAUAAAAGAUGCYUAAAAACAUAUUUUAUAUUGAAAAKAUGUCUUUUCGACAUCGUGUGCUCACUGGGAAUCAUCUCUGAAGUGGCGAAACCAUCCAGCCAUUAAUUAGCAGGGUUUCACCCAUUCAGAGAUCACUUGAAUCUAGGGUUGCGGAAUUCCGGUAACUCCCAAAAUUACCCCGUUUCCCAGAAAUCCUGGUUGUGAGACCAGGAAUCGUCCAACCAGGAUUUCUGGAAAACCCUGGGGKUUUUUUGGGGUGAAAAUUAUCAUAAUUUUGCAACUCUACUUGGAUCACUUGUUCACUGACAUGGAGGAUGUGGGAUUAGCAACGUGUUAUAAUAAGGAAACAGUGUCUCUUCCUGAAAUGCAGUAAAGUCACCUCGGUUCAUGUUGACAAA